rnacentral:rRNA from 1 species
GAUGAACGCUGGCGGCGUGCCUAAUACAUGCAAGUCGAGCGAACAGACGCGGCGCUUGCUCCUCUGACGUUAGCGGCGGACGGGUGAGUAACACGUGGAUCACCUCCCUAUAAGACUGGGAUAACUUCGGGACACCGGCGCUAAUACCGUAUAAUAUCUUGCACCGCAUGGUUCAAUAGUGAAAGUCGGUUUUUCUGUCACUUAUCGCUGCAUCCGCGCCGCAUUAGCUAGUUGUUAAGGUCACGGCGUACCACGGCGACCAUGCGUAUCCGAACGGCGAGAGGGAUAGGCCACAUGAGAACGGAGACACGGUCCAGACUCCUAAGGGAGGCAGCAGAAGGGAAUCGUACGCAAUGGGCGGAAGCAUGACGGAGCAACGGGGCGUGAGUGAUGAAGGUGUUCGGAGCGUAAAAACGUGUUAUGAGGGAAGAACAAAUGUGGAAGGAAACAUGGAGGUAGUGACGGUACCUAAUCAGAAAGCAACGGCUAACUACGUG